CAAGAAAUAGUUUAAUUAAAAAUAUUAAUUUUGGAGAUUAAAGAUAAAAUUAUUUUUUUUUCUUGA
rnacentral:tRNA from 1 species